UACGUAGGGUGCGAGCGUUGUCCGGAAUUAUUGGGCGUAAAGAGCUCGUAGGCGGUGUGUCGCGUCGGCCGUGAAAACCUGCAGCUUAACUGUGGGCUUGCGGUCGAUACGGGCAUCACUGGAGUUCGGCAGGGGAGACUGGAAUUCCUGGUGCAGCGGUGAAAUGCGCAGAUAUCAGGAGGAACACCGGUGGCGAAGGCGGGUCUCUGGGCCGAUACUGACGCUGAGGAGCGAAAGCGUGGGGAGCGAACAGG
rnacentral:rRNA from 1 species